GAUGAGGUGGCGGGGUGGUUAAGGCAAUGGACUGCUAAUGCAUAGUGUUCUGCACGUGUGGGUUCAAAAACCUUCCUUGUCA
rnacentral:tRNA from 1 species